CGGAAAAUGUCGUGUUGGCAAAAGAAUGAAUUCCCCAGUGGCUUCAGCACAAAAAUCUGUGAGAAGGCAUGUGGUGGAUCUUCAUCUGCCUGUAACAGAUUUAACAGAUACGUUAUUAGAAUAAAUAUUAUGAAGUCAUGCAAAAAUUAUACAAAUGCUGUCUGAGAUAUAAAAUACAUAACAAGUAAAAUGUA